rnacentral:lncRNA from 1 species
CUUUAAUUGACCACUCCAAAACAGAUGUUUUUGCUGAGGAGGGUUCAAGUGUUACAUUGUCCUAUCCACAAUAUUAAUCUAAUGAAAAAAAUGAUCAAAACAUGAAACAAAUAUUCUAAAGUCUAAGAUUCUAAAGUAAGUCAAAAGGCCAGGUUUUUUUCAGUAUGCAAAUUUGUGUGGCAUUAUGAAACGUGAAUUGUAGUAAAUCCAAACAAUACAGUCCUUUAAUUGACCACUCACUUUAUAAUAUUCUACCAUUCAGAAAAUAAAAUACUUUAUUUGCAUGAAUGUGUAUGAGAUUGCAGAAUUUCAGUUAUGCCAUACUUGCAGUGAACCAGAAGAGGGCAGUAGGUGUUCAAUAUUUCACUUGAGAAUACAGCUUUUAUAUUUCUCCACAAGCUCCUCCUUGGAUCGUCACCAUAGUACCAGAAGCAAGACUCUUAUAUUUACUGAUUUUUCUUCAACAUAGACAGUCAUGUCACACAGGUUGAGGAAUAUAUUUCUCUUCACAUUAUUCAUUCUUGGUAUGAAUUCUCAUUUAAUACAGCUGUAUAUUCAUGUAAAUUGAUUAUAUGUUGUAUUGUACAUUAAAUAUUCUUAAAUCUUUACAGAUUGCAGAUCAGAGGACAAAGUUGAUCAGCCAGAUGAACAUAUGACUGAAGCUGAAGGAAGAUCAGUAACAUUACAGUUGUCUGAAUUGAGCUAUAACAUGAGGGAGGAGGGACUCAAUCAUUGAAUCAAUUCAGUCUGACUCUUCUCAGAGUGAACACUUGUACAAUGGAUCUUCAUUCAGUUAUUCUGCUCUGUGUCUCAGCUGCUGCUGUCUUUGGAAAUGUCAUCAAACCAGAACAGCUUGAUGUUUUUUCUGAGGAGGGUUCAAGUGUUACAUUAUCCUGUAGUUAUUCUGCUUCUGGACGUACAGAUUAUCUCCACUGGUACCGUCAGUAUGGAAGAUCAAAACCUGAAUUUCUUGUACUCACCUACAGCAAUGCAAAAGAAGCUCAGCAGUCUGAUGUAGAUCCAAGAUUCUCUGUUAACAUUUCGAAAAGUCAAUAUGUGGAUCUGGAGAUAUCUUCUGCUGCUGUAUCAGACUCUGCUCUGUACUACUGUGCUCUGGUGCCCACAGUGACAGGAAACACAUCAGCUCUCUACAAAAACCUGUUACAGUAAGAGACAAGAGAGAAACACAGAGACAGAGAUGAAUGAAAAUUGUGUGCAAUGUGAAAGGUAUUCAUUACAUUAAAUUACAGUUACACUAUGAAGCUGCUCUUUAAUACCUGUAAUUCAGAAAGCUGUUAAACAAUAAAACAUCUCAAAUGAUUCUCACGUGCAAUAAAUAGUGCAGGUUCAUGUAUGCCACAGGAGGGCAGUGCUCACAUACUUUCACAUGGAGUUACUGCUGUUUCAAAUCCUAUAUAAUAAGAGAAAACAACAUUAUGUUAUAUAUUUUUAUUA